rnacentral:rRNA from 1 species
GACGAACGCUGGCGGCGUGCUUAACACAUGCAAGUCGAACGAAGUGGCGUACGGGUGAGUAACGCGUAAUCAACCUGCCCUUCAGAGGGGGACAACAGUUGGAAAUGACCGCUAAUACCGUAUACCGAAGGAGGGGAUUGCGUCUGAUUAGCUAGUCGGAGGGGUAACGGCCCACCAAGGCGGUGAUCAGUAGCCGGUCUGAGAGGAUGAACAGCCACAUUGGGGCUGAGACACGGCCAAGACUCCUACGGGAGGCAGCAGUGGGGAAUCUUCCGCAAUGACGAAAAUCUGACGGAGCAACACCGCGUGAGUGAUAACGGCCUUCGGGUUGUAAAGCUCUGUUAAUCGGGACGCGAUACCGGAAUAGAAAGCCACGGCUAACUACGUGCCAGCAGCCGCGGUAAUAC